rnacentral:rRNA from 1 species
UGGAAUCGCUAGUAAUCGCGGAUCAGAAUGCCGCGGUGAAUACGUUCCCGGGUCUUGUACACACCGCCCGUCACACCAUGGGAGUCGGAAAUGCCCGAAGUCUGUGACCCAACCUGCGAGGGAGGGAGCAGCCGAAGGCAGGUCGGAUGACUGGGGUGAAGUCGUAACAAGGUACC